rnacentral:rRNA from 1 species
CAGCGGGGCACCCGCU